GCGGGUGUGGCGAAAUUGGUAAACGCGUAGGACUUAGGAUCCUAUGCCGAAAGGCUUGUGGGUUCGAGUCCCACCACCCGCA
rnacentral:tRNA from 1 species